rnacentral:rRNA from 1 species
GACGAACCGUGCAAACGUUGUUCGGAAUCACUGGGCUUAAAGGGCGCGUAGGCGGGCCAGCCAGUCUGUGGUGAAAGCCUCCAGCUUAACUGGAGAAGUGCCGUGGAUACUGCUGGCCUCGAGGAGGAUAGGGGCAUCUGGAACGGUCGGUGGAGCGGUGAAAUGCGUUGAUAUCGACCGGAACUCCGGUGGCGAAGGCGAGGUGCUGGGUCCUUCUGACGCUGAUGCGCGAAAGCCAGGGGAGCAAACGGG